AUGUACCUCACCCACUAGAAGGAAACCCUUCCAGUCGGCGAGGUACAUGUACCUUGCUGACUGGAAGGAAAUCCUUCCAGUCAACAAUUUACAUGGCAUUUCCUUCCAGUCAACAAGGUACAUGUACACUGACUGUACCACAACUGGAAGGGUUUCCUUAGUGGGUGAGGUACAU
rnacentral:miRNA from 1 species